rnacentral:rRNA from 1 species
GACGAACGCUGGCGGCGUGCUUAACACAUGCAAGUCGAACGGAAAGGCCCUGCUUUUGUGGGGUGCUCGAGUGGCGAACGGGUGAGUAACACGUGAGUAACCUGCCCUUGACUUUGGGAUAACUUCAGGAAACUGGGGCUAAUACCGGAUAGGAGCUCCUGCUGCAUGGUGGGGGUUGGAAAGUUUCGGCGGUUGGGGAUGGACUCGCGGCUUAUCAGCUUGUUGGUGGGGUAGUGGCUUACCAAGGCUUUGACGGGUAGCCGGCCUGAGAGGGUGACCGGCCACAUUGGGACUGAGAUACGGCCCAGACUCCUACGGGAGGCAGCAGUGGGGAAUAUUGCACAAUGGGCGGAAGCCUGAUGCAGCAACGCCGCGUGCGGGAUGACGGCCUUCGGGUUGUAAACCGCUUUCGCCUGUGACGAAGCGUGAGUGACGGUAAUGGGUAAAGAAGCACCGGCUAACUACGUGCCAGCAGCCGCGGUGAUACGUAGGGUGCGAGCGUUGUCCGGAUUUAUUGGGCGUAAAGGGCUCGUAGGUGGUUGAUCGCGUCGGAAGUGUAAUCUUGGGGCUUAACCCUGAGCGUGCUUUCGAUACGGGUUGACUUGAGGAAGGUAGGGGAGAAUGGAAUUCCUGGUGGAGCGGUGGAAUGCGCAGAUAUCAGGAGGAACACCAGUGGCGAAGGCGGUUCUCUGGGCCUUUCCUGACGCUGAGGAGCGAAAGCGUGGGGAGCGAACAGGCUUAGAUACCCUGGUAGUCCACGCUGUAAACGGUGGGUACUAGGUGUGGGGUCCGUUCCACGGGUUCCGUGCCGUAGCUAACGCUUUAAGUACCCCGCCUGGGGAGUACGGCCGCAAGGCUAAAACUCAAAGGAAUUGACGGGGCCCCGCACAAGCGGCGGAGCAUGCGGAUUAAUUCGAUGCAACGCGUAGAACCUUACCUGGGUUUGACAUGGAUCGGGAGCGCUCAGAGAUGGGUGUGCCUCUUUUGGGGUCGGUUCACAGGUGGUGCAUGGCUGUCGUCAGCUCGUGUCGUGAGAUGUUGGGUUAAGUCCCGCAACGAGCGCAACCCUUGUUCACUGUUGCCAGCACGUUAUGGUGGGGACUCAGUGGAGACCGCCGGGGUCAACUCGGAGGAAGGUGGGGAUGACGUCAAGUCAUCAUGCCCCUUAUGUCCAGGGCUUCACGCAUGCUACAAUGGCUGGUACAGAGAGUGGCGAGCCUGUGAGGGUGAGCGAAUCUCGGAAAGCCGGUCUCAGAUCGGAUUGGGGUCUGCAACUCGACCUCAUGAAGUCGGAGUCGCUAGUAAUCGCAGAUCAGCAACGCUGCGGUGAAUACGUUCCCGGG